rnacentral:sRNA from 1 species
GAUGCACCAUUUAAAGUUGCCAGAAAUGAUGAAGGUA